GACGAACGCUGGCGGCGUGCUUAACACAUGCAAGUCGAACGGAAAGGCCCUGCUUUUGUGGGGUGCUCGAGUGGCGAACGGGUGAGUAACACGUGAGUAACCUGCCCUUGACUUUGGGAUAACUUCAGGAAACUGGGGCUAAUACCGGAUAGGAGCUCCUGCUGCAUGGUGGGGGUUGGAAAGUUUCGGCGGUUGGGGAUGGACUCGCGGCUUAUCAGCUUGUUGGUGGGGUAGUGGCUUACCAAGGCUUUGACGGGUAGCCGGCCUGUGAGGGUGACCGGCCACAUUGGGACUGAGAUACGGCCCAGACUCCUACGGGAGGCAGCAGUGGGGAAUAUUGCACAAUGGGCGGAAGCCUGAUGCAGCAACGCCGCGUGCGGGAUGACGGCCUUCUGGUUGUAAACCGCUUUCGCCUGUGACGAAGCGUGAGUGACGGUAAUGGGUAAAGAAGCACCGGCUAACUACGUG
rnacentral:rRNA from 1 species